GCCCCGAUAGCUCAGAUGGAUAGAGCGCUUCCCUCCUAAGGAAGAGGCCGCUGGUUCGACUCCAGCUCGGGGCA
rnacentral:tRNA from 2 species